rnacentral:rRNA from 1 species
UACGUAGGGUGCAAGCGUUGUCCGGAAUUAUUGGGCGUAAAGAGCGUGUAGGCGGCCCGAUUAGUCCGCUGUGAAAGUCCAGGGCUCAACCCUGGAAUGCCGGUGGAUACUGUCGGGCUAAAGUCCGGAAGGGGCGAGUGGAAUUCCGGGUGUAGCGGUGGAAUGCGUAGAGAUCCGGAAGAACACCGGUGGCGAAGGCGGCCCGCUGGGCAACUGCUGACACUGAGGCGCGACAGCGUGGGGAGCAAACAGG